GGCCCCAUUCGGCUCUUGGAGACCGCAGCCACUUCCUGGCCACUACCGGCCAGUACCAUUCUCCUGCGAGGUUGGCUCUUGGGAGACUCCUGCUCAAACUCUAACUUGACCUGGCCAGGGGGAUUUUAAAGGAGGACCAAGUUGAGUGGCUUCGAGGUCACCCCACGCCACUGCAGGACAGCCCUCUGCUAUCCAGGUGCCUGGAAUACAGAUGUGAUGGCUGGCGUGGACGCUGCCAGCUUGGAUUAUGAAGAUGAGAUGGGGGAAUAGUGAUCUGGAUUGAAACCUGAGUCCUCAAGAACUAGUGAUACAAAGCUACUAUGUCGGCCAUGAGCGGUCCACCCCCACACUUCUACAAAAGGGAAAAAUAAACUUUCACUGUGUUUGGAGUCUA